AGUGAACGCUGGCGGCAGGCCUAACACAUGCAAGUCGAACGGCAGCACGAGAGAGCUUGCUCUCUUGGUGGCGAGUGGCGGACGGGUGAGUAAUACAUCGGAAUCUACCCUGUCGUGGGGGAUAACGUAGGGAAACUUACGCUAAUACCGCAUACGACCUACGGGUGAAAGCAGGGGAUCUUCGGACCUUGCGCGAUUGGAUGAGCCGAUGUCGGAUUAGCUAGUUGGCGGGGUAAAGGCCCACCAAGGCGACGAUCCGUAGCUGGUCUGAGAGGAUGAUCAGCCACACUGGAACUGAGACACGGUCCAGACUCCUACGGGAGGCAGCAGUGGGGAAUUUUGGACAAUGGGGGCAACCCUGAUCCAGCCAUGCCGCGUGAGUGAAGAAGGCCUUCGGGUUGUAAAGCUCUUUCGGCAGGAACGAAACGGCGGGCUCUAACAUAGCCCGUCAAUGACGGUACCUGAAGAAGAAGCACCGGCUAACUACGUGCCAGCCGCCGCGGUAACAC
rnacentral:rRNA from 1 species